rnacentral:rRNA from 1 species
UGGGGAAUAUUGGACAAUGGGCGAAAGCCUGAUCCAGCCAUGCCGCGUGUGUGAAGAAGGGCUUCGGAUUGUAAAGCACUUUAAGUUGGGAGGAAGGGCAUUAACCUAAUACGUUAGUGUUUUGACGUUACCGACAGAAUAAGCACCGGCUAACUCUGUGCCAGCAGCCGCGGUAAUACAGAGGGUGCAAGCGUUAAUCGGAAUUACUGGGCGUAAAGCGCGCGUAGGUGGUUUGUUAAGUUGGAUGUGAAAUCCCCGGGCUCAACCUGGGAACUGCAUUCAAAACUGACUGACUAGAGUAUGGUAGAGGGUGGUGGAAUUUCCUGUGUAGCGGUGAAAUGCGUAGAUAUAGGAAGGAACACCAGUGGCGAAGGCGACCACCUGGACUAAUACUGACACUGAGGUGCGAAAGCGUGGGGAGCAAACA